UUUAUCAGAGAGUUUGAUCCUGGCUCAGGAUGAACGCUGGCGGCGUGCUUAACACAUGCAAGUCGAACGGGAAAUACUUUAUUGAAACUUCGGUCGAUUUAAUUUAUUUCUAGUGGCGGACGGGUGAGUAACGCGUGGGUAACCUGCCUUAUAC
rnacentral:rRNA from 1 species